rnacentral:lncRNA from 1 species
UUUCAUUUCAGAAAAAUGGUAAAUUCAGUACUUUUUCCCUUUCUCGCGUAUUUUGUUCUAAUGAUGACAGUAAGUGUGCAGACGAAAACAACAUGUUUCUUUGAUCAAAGAUGUCGAUGUAAAACUUCAAAUAAAACAUAUGUUGAGGUUGAUUGUUCACACUCAAAUCUAAGGAAAAUACCUUACCUGCCAAGAAAUGUGAGCAGUGUUGAUUUAAGUAACAACUAUAUACAUAAUAUACCGGAACACCAUUUUAAAGACAAC